GCCGGGUGUGGUGGCGAGCGCCUGUAAUCCCAGCUACUUGGGAGGCUGAGGCAGGAGAAUUGCUUGAACCUGGGAGGUUGCAGUAAGCCAAGACAGUGCCGCUGCACUGCAGCCUGGGUGACAGAGCAAGACUCCGUCUCAA
rnacentral:SRP_RNA from 1 species